UCAACUUGUUGCAAAGUUCAUUUCUUGUCCCUCAAAAACAAUUCGUAUUUUUUUCAUUCCCCAACUUUCAAAACCGGACACUUUUAGUCCUUAAGGCUAUCCGAAGUGGUUUAUCUAACCACGUGUCCGGUUUGAACUUAAUCCCAUGACCGCCGAGGCUAGUUGUCGUGUUCCGGAUCUCGUCCAGACACUAGUUGUACUUCUCCUCCAUCUGCAUCAUCCAUAUCUUGAUUGAAAAAAAAAUAAGUGAAAAAACUAUGCAAAAACCAGACACGUGGCUAGAAAAACCACUUUGGAUGGACUGAGGGACUAAAAGUGUCCGGUUUUGAAAAUUGAGGGACGAAAAAAUUACGAAAUUUUUUUGAGGGACGAAAAGCGAACUUUCCGAAAAGUCGAGAGACGAAAAAAUUACUUUUCUCCAUUUUAAAAGGCGACAAUCAGCGUAUGUACACUACAAUAUAAACUACAUCCUGGGAUGUGCUGUGAAUAUUCCCAUAGAUCCAUAGUAAAUUCUGAAUGAACUAUCAUGUCAUGUGUACCCAUUAGCAAAAUGCUGGCGGCCCAUGAACUCACUCAGCUAACUAUGUAAAGAACAACUCAAGCGCAC
rnacentral:lncRNA from 1 species